GGAAAAUACAGAUUCAAGUGUUUUGCAGAUGGUCAGUUUUCCUCUAUCUCUUCCUGGACUCAGAAUAUAUAAAGAAUAUUUGGAAUUCAAAUUUCAACAGGCUCAGACUGAAGGAUGUUCCUGUUUGAAGAAUUGUCCUGUUUCAAAAGUGCUUGUACAUCUUCUGGGACAAGAAAAGCUGAAGAUCUGGCGUGAAUGAAUCCACUACAGGUAUAGCUGCUGGAGUAAGCAGAGAACUCUAAAGUUUUUCUCCAUCAUGUGCUGUUGAAAGAGAUGACAUAUCCAGAAAAAUAUUAGACUCAAUGUGAAAAACUAGAAGCAGCUGGCCAAUAAACUACCUAGAAAGCAUCCAGCCUGGAUCUCAGCUGCAAAAUUUGCUGUCAUGUAGUGUUGGGCUGCAACGGACUGUGGAAUUUGGGAUCCCUGUGGAGUAGGCUCUCUAUGCCUCUGGCAGCUCAUCAGGAUAAAGUUGAAAUUAGGAUUGCAGAGAAG